AUACUUACUGGGCAGGGGAGAUACCAUGACCAUAAAGGUGGUUUUCCCAGGGAGAGGCUUAUUUAUCCCUUGUUCUCCAGGUGUGCUGACCCCUGCUAUUUCCCCAAAUGCAGGAAACUGACCUGCAUAAUUUGUGGUACUGGGGGGGACUAUGUUUAUACUCUCCCCUG
rnacentral:snRNA from 1 species